rnacentral:rRNA from 1 species
GUGGGGAAUAUUGGACAAUGGGCGAAAGCCUGAUCCAGCCAUGCCGCGUGUGUGAAGAAGGUCUUCGGAUUGUAAAGCACUUUAAGUUGGGAGGAAGGGCAGUAAGUUAAUACCUUGCUGUUUUGACGUUACCGACAGAAUAAGCACCGGCUAACUUCGUGCCAGCAGCCGCGGUAAUACGAAGGGUGCAAGCGUUAAUCGGAAUUACUGGGCGUAAAGCGCGCGUAGGUGGUUUUGUAAGUUGGAGGUGAAAUCCCCGGGAUCAAACUGGGAACUGCCUCAAAAACUGCAUGACUAGAGUACGGUAGAGGGUAGUGGAAUUUCCUGUGUAGCGGUGAAAUGCGUAGAUAUAGGAAGGAACACAAGUGGCGAAGGCGACUACCUGGACUGAUACUGACACUGAGGUGCGAAAGCGUGGGGAGCAAACAGGAUUAGAUACCCCUGUAGUCC